rnacentral:pre_miRNA from 1 species
UAUGAAUCUAGCGGAAACACUUCAGCACAAACUAAGAUUUUGAUACCAGUGUGCGGAAAUGCUUCUGCUACGAUUUUAGG